GGAGGAUUCGCAUAGUGGCCUAGUGCGCACGCUUGGAAAGCGUGUUGGGUGAAAGCCCUCAGGGGUUCGAAUCCCCUAUCCUCCGCCA
rnacentral:tRNA from 1 species